rnacentral:rRNA from 1 species
GCAAGCCGAGCGGUAGAGAUCUUUCGGGAUCUUGAGAGCGGCGUACGGGUGCGGAACACGUGUGCAACCUGCCUUUAUCUGGGGGAUAGCCUUUCGAAAGGAAGAUUAAUACCCCAUAAUAUACUGAAUGGCAUCAUUCGGUAUUGAAAACUCCGGUGGAUAGAGAUGGGCACGCGCAAGAUUAGAUAGUUGGUGAGGUAACGGCUCACCAAGUCUGCGAUCUUUAGGGGGCCUGAGAGGGUGAUCCCCCACACUGGUACUGAGACACGGACCAGACUCCUACGGGAGGCAGCAGUGAGGAAUAUUGGACAAUGGGUGAGAGCCUGAUCCAGCCAUCCCGCGUGAAGGACGACGGCCCUAUGGGUUGUAAACUUCUUUUGUAUAGGGAUAAACCUACCCUCGUGAGGGUAGCUGAAGGUACUAUACGAAUAAGCACCGGCUAACUCCGUGCCAGCAGCCGCGGUAAUACGGAGGGUGCAAGCGUUAUCCGGAUUUAUUGGGUUUAAAGGGUCCGUAGGCGGAUCUGUAAGUCAGUGGUGAAAUCUCACAGCUUAACUGUGAAACUGCCAUUGAUACUGCAGGUCUUGAGUGUUGUUGAAGUAGCUGGAAUAAGUAGUGUAGCGGUGAAAUGCAUAGAUAUUACUUAGAACACCAAUUGCGAAGGCAGGUUACUAAGCAACAACUGACGCUGAUGGACGAAAGCGUGGGGAGCGAACAGGAUUAGAUACCCUGGUAGUCCACGCCGUAAACGAUGCUAACUCGUUUUUGGAAUGUAAGUUUCAGAGACUAAGCGAAAGUGAUAAGUUAGCCACCUGGGGAGUACGAACGCAAGUUUGAAACUCAAAGGAAUUGACGGGGGCCCGCACAAGCGGUGGAUUAUGUGGUUUAAUUCGAUGAUACGCGAGGAACCUUACCAAGGCUUAAAUGGGAAAUGACAGGUUUAGAAAUAGACUUUUCUUCGGACAUUUUUCAAGGUGCUGCAUGGUUGUCGUCAGCUCGUGCCGUGAGGUGUUAGGUUAAGUCCUGCAACGAGCGCAACCCCUGUCACUAGUUGCCAUCAUUAAGUUGGGGACUCUAGUGAGACCGCCUACGCAAGUAGAGAGGAAGGUGGGGAUGACGUCAAAUCAUCACGGCCCUUACGCCUUGGGCCACACACGUAAUACAAUGGCCGGUACAGAGGGCAGCUACACUGCGAAGUGAUGCAAAUCUCGAAAGCCGGUCUCAGUUCGGAUUGGAGUCUGCAACUCGACUCUAUGAAGCUGGAAUCGCUAGUAAUCGCGCAUCAGCCAUGGCGCGGUGAAUACGUUCCCGGGCCUUGUACACACCGCCCGUCAAGCCAUGGAAGUCUGGGGUACC